UACGUAGGUGGCAAGCGUUGUCCGGAUUUACUGGGCGUAAAGAGCGCGCAGGCGGUCGUUCAAGUCGCGUGUGAAAGCCCCCGGCUCAACUGGGGAGGGUCACGCGAUACUGAUCGACUCGAAGGCAGGAGAGGGAAGUGGAAUUCCCGGUGUAGUGGUGAAAUGCGUAGAUAUCGGGAGGAACACCGAUGGCGAAGGCAGCUCGCUGGGACGUAACUGACGCUGAGACGCGAAAGCGUGGGGAGCAAACAGG
rnacentral:rRNA from 1 species